rnacentral:rRNA from 1 species
CGCUUGGUGGUCUUAUGCUAAGUAAAUUCUGCUCGGUGAAAAUGAUUUAACAGCAGCGGUAUCUUGACCGUUCAAAGGUAGCAUAAUAAGUUUAGUAAUUGUAAACCUGUCAAUGGGACCAUGGGUUUAUUUAAAUAAGAACUUAAUUAUUAUUGAAAUUAACUAAAAAGUAAAAAUUCUUUUUCUUUUUUAAAAGACGAUAAGACCCUAGAACUUUUUAAAAAAUUUAGGUGGGGAAUCUUUGAUUAUUUAACAAUCAACAGUAAAAGUACUCUAGGGAUAACAGCUUCAUUUUAAAGAGCCUUUAAAGUUUGAGACCUCGAUGUUGAAUUAAGGACAUUGGUUUUUCAAAAGAAAGCUAAUUUAGGUCUGUUCGACCUUAGCCCCUU